ensembl:lncRNA
CGACGCGCUGAUUGGACAAGUCAGAUGUCAUUCAAACUCCUGCCACAACUUUCAGCACUACUAGUCAAGAUUGUGUAGGCUGCUGCUACUGCCGCUUAGUUCCCACUGCGCAUGCGUUUGGGAAGCCCAGGGUAGGCCCUGCUGUUUUUGUAACUCCAGUCAAUCCAACGCAGGCGUCUAAACCAAAACAAGGAGCGCGAGAUCCCCUCAUGACGGCGAAUAAACUGGGAAUUCAAGAACAGCGAGGGCCAAACUGUGCCAGACCAUCAGAGAGUCAAAGUGUGUACACGACUAGAAAAUCCACAGCCACUUCAAGGAUAGCACGACACGUGGGAGAUGUGGCAGAGCAUUCAGGCAAUCAGCAACUACAGGACAUCACCCGCCUUUGACAGUGAUGCCUCCCUUCCAGAUGCACUGAACAACUUCUGUGCCUCAAUCUGAGCGUAGAAUGAUGUGAUGGUCAGGAAGAACACCCUUCCUCCCAACAACCAGGUGCUGUGUCUAACCUCGGCUGAUGUGAGGAAAACUCAACGCAGAGACAACCCAUGGAAAGCUGCUGGACCAGACAACAUUCCUGGCAGAGUGCUCAGAGGAUGUGCAGACCAGCUCGUGGAUGUUCUCACUGACCUCAACAUCUCCUUGAGCAGCGCCAUCAUUCCAACGUGCUUCAGGGAUACCACCAUUGUCCUCAUGCCGAAGAAGUCUUGCCUCAGUGACUACCGUGCCUUUGCGCUCACAUCCAUAAUCAUGAAGUGCUUCGAGAGACUCAUCAUGAGGCACAUCAAGACCCUACUGCCCCCCUCAUUGGACCUGCUGCAGUUCUCCUAUCGUCCCAACCGCUCAGCAGAUGAUUUCAUUGCCACCACCCUACAUUUGGCCCUUACCCACCUGUUCAAGAAGGACACCUACAUUCGAAUACUGUUCAUAGACUUCACUUCAGCAUUCAAACAACUAUUCUUCAGCACCUGAAUGGAAAGCUGAACCUACUGGAAUUGAACACCUCCCUCUGCAACUGGAUCCUGGACUUCCUGACUGGGAGACUGGAGUCGGUACGGAUCAGGAACGGCAUCUUCAGCACCACCACAGUGAGCAUGGGGGCCCCCUCAGGGCUGUGUGCUCAGGCCACUGCUGUUCACUCUGCUCACUCAUGACUGUGCAGCAAUGCACAGCUUAAAUCCACCGUGGUGGGUCUCCAUUAGGAAGAAUGAUGAGUCAGCAUACACAGAGGAGGUGCAGCGGCUAAUGGACUGGUGCAGAGCCAACAAAUUGUCUCUGAACGUGGACAAAACGAAAGACGUGGUUGUUGACUUCAGGAGACCACACAGCGACCACUCCAACAGCUCCAUAACUAAGAAAACCCAGCAGCGUCUCUUUCUGAGAAGGCUAAAAAAGCAUUCAGUGUCUCACGACCAGACUGUGUAACAGCUUCUUCCCCCAAGCCAUCAGACUCUUCAAUACUCAAGAGACUGGACUGACACAUACUCACUCACAUGUGCACACACACACUGAACUAAACACCAUCCCACUCCCAUUGCAAUAUUUGCACAUUCCUGCAUUGACUCUGUUGCAUUUUUGGUGGUACUCUAUUAUAAAAAUAUGGUAUUUAAUUUCUUGUCACGAUUAUACACUUUACCUGGCUGCUACUGCAACAACUGCUAUGUCCAUAUUUGGUAUACACUAAUCUGCUGAAUACUAAGUCAUAGCAUGUUAUGUUUACAUUUAUACUAUUUUUAUAUUAUAUUGCUACUCUUUGGCACCUAUCUUCUGCACUACCUGUAUAUCAGACACUUCCACAUAGAACUGUGUACUUGUCUGUGCUACACUGUCACUUACUGUGCCUAUUGUCCUGUUUUAGUAGUAUUGUACUGUCCUGUGGUGUUAACACACGUUUGUAUGUGCACUUUAUAUAGAAAUGUGUACAUAUUUAGUUCUGUGUCGUCUCAUGUAGUUAGUGUGUUUUAUGUACCACCGAGGUCCUGGAGGAAUGUUGUUUCAGUUCACUGUGCACUGUACCAGCU